AGCCAGAGAAAGUGGCCUUUGACAUCCAGUUACUACUGGCCUUUGAUGUAAACAGAUUCCUUCUAGAGGCAGGUCUUCAGGACACAAGCAGGAGUCACUGUGGUGAUGCCAGUUCCUCUUGUGUUUCAGCCACCACUGGAGUAGCUCCUGGCACAACUGUUGCCCCUGGCAGUUCCAAGACAGAGGCCACCACUUUCCUAGGAGUAAGUGGAACAACAAGCAUUGGAAGAGCCACGGGUGAGUGCUGCUAGACUAAGACCUUUAAUUCCUAAUGACACCUUCAAUAGUCUUCUGAAAAUA
ensembl:lincRNA